rfam:Triticum aestivum genome assembly, contig: Triticum_aestivum_CS42_TGACv1_scaffold_604184_7DL
AUAGUACUCCCUCCGUCCCAAAAUUCCUGUCUUAGAUUCGUCUAAAUACGGAUGUAUUUUGAUACAUCCGUAUCUAGACAAAUCUAAGACAAGAAUUUUGGGACGGAGGGAGUAGAAA